GAUGCGGGAUGGCCUACGUGUGGACACCAGUUGGGGUGUUGUGCUCCUGGUGCCUGCUUUUGGUCUGUUUGCUGUGCUCACUGUGUCCAUCCUGCUGGUGAUGGAGGGACUUUCAGCCUUUCUUCAUGCUCUCAGACUCCACUGGGUGGAGUUUCAAAAUAAGUUCUACAGCGGCGCUGGUGUCAAGUUUGUACCGUUUGCCUUCUCUCUCAUGCACAGCAGCUUUGAAAACGAAGGACUGUUAUGAAUUGCGGGACGCUGGGCGGAUCUGUGAACUCAAUUUGCAACAGAUUUAUAUACAGUGAUGUUGCACUUCAUGCCAAACUGGCCCAACCAAAUACUCUUUCCGUAUUAUAUAUGUUCCAUAUCAGCAUCGACACACUGAGCCACAUCAGAUGCUCUGCUGCAACCAUCAACUCUGAGGUAAAGCAAAGACUCGGGACUGUAAAUAGGACUCUUGAGUGCUUUAGAUCUCUUGAAUGUAUUUUCAGCUGACUCAGCUCUUCACAAAAGUGCAAUUUUGGAAUAUCGUUGGAAUAUCUACCAUGUUGCUGUGCAGAGAUGCUCAUUUCACUCCAUAGCUGAGCACAUUCCUUGAGUGACAUUAGGAUUUCAUUUUCAUCCUGCUGUUUUUAGCAUCCAGUGUUGAAACAUGAUUCUGGCUCACGAAGGUCAUUCAGAGUGUUGAUCUAGUGCUGUAAAGAUCAGAGAGCGUCAUAAGGCUGUUCUAUUCAAAUGCUUCUACAGAUGAUCUUCUUGGUGGUUGAAAAAUGUCCUGCAGAAGCCCUACUUGGCCCACAAGAGGUUCCUAAGUGCCAAACAUGUUGAAUCUAUUCAAAUGGGUGGUGGAUUAAAUUUUUCAGUUCAAGUCAUUUAGAAUUUAUUAAUUUAAUGAAAUUCAUUGUAUCGUCUGUGUUGCUGUUCUGGGCAAAGCUUAAAGUCUGAGAGUUGUGAUCCUGUCAGUCAUUUAAUUUUAUCGUAAAUGGAGAUGUUUUAGUAUUUUAACCAUCAUAGAUCUGUUCAAUUAUUCUGUUCUAACUCAUCAGAGUAGUGUUGUUUUUUUUUUUUUUUUUUUUUACUCAGUUUAAUGUGACACUUUGGUGAGCUACUGAAUUCAUUCCAAUUUUUUUUAAUGUACUAAUCAUACUGAUUUUGAUUUCUAUCUUUCAUUUGAAUAUUCUGUGCUUAGGUAACUUACAUUCCAGGUUUUGCACAGGAGCUCAAUAUUUAACAUUACACAAUAAAAAAAGAAACCUGUGAA